rnacentral:rRNA from 1 species
CUGCUGCCUCCCGUAGGAGUUUGGGCCGUGUCUCAGUCCCAAUGUGGCCGUUCACCCUCUCAGGCCGGCUACUGAUCGUCGCCUUGGUGGGCCUUUACCCCGCCAACAAGCUAAUCAGACGCGGAUCCAUCGUAUACCACCGGAGUUUUUCACACUGCUUCAUGCGAAGCUGUGCGCUUAUGCGGUAUUAGCACCUAUUUCUAAGUGUUAUCCCCCAGUAUACGGCAGGUUCUCCACGCGUUACUCACCCGUCCG